rnacentral:rRNA from 1 species
GACGAACGCUGGCGGCGUGCCUAAUACAUGCAAGUAGAACGCACAGUUUAUACCGUAGCUUGCUACACCAUAGACUGUGAGUUGCGAACGGGUGAGUAACGCGUAGGUAACCUGCCUGGUAGCGGGGGAUAACUAUUGGAAACGAUAGCUAAUACCGCAUAAUAUUAAUUAUUGCAUGAUAAUUGAUUAAAAGGUGCAAUUGCACCACUACCAGAUGGACCUGCGUUGUAUUAGCUAGUAGGUGAGGUAACGGCUCACCUAGGCGACGAUACAUAGCCGACCUGAGAGGGUGAUCGGCCACACUGGGACUGAGACACGGCCCAGACUCCUACGGGAGGCAGCAGUAGGGAAUCUUCGGCAAUGGACGAAAGUCUGACCGAGCAACGCCGCGUGAGUGAAGAAGGUUUUCGGAUCGUAAAGCUCUGUUGUAAGAGAAGAACGGGUGUGAGAGUGGAAAGUUCACAGGGUGACGGAUCUACCAGAAA